AUACUUACCUGGCUGGGGAGAUGCCAUGAUCACGAAGGUGGUUUUCCCAGGGCGAGGCUUCGCCAUUGCCCUCCGGAUGUGCUGGCCCCUGCAAUUUCCCCAAAUGUGGGAAACUCAAGUGCACAGUUUGUGAUAAUGGGGGACUGUGUUUGUGCUCUUCCCUU